CUAGCUUCAUCAAUGUCCAGCCUCCAGAGGGCCUUCCCAGGAGGGUAGGCGUUAAUGCAAGCAAGUGGUGGUCUGCAUAGCUGAGCAGAGUCUGCUGUGUUUCUGAUAAAUUGUGAAGAGCCACAGACCUUUGCCUAAUGAAGGGCCUCAAGCUCCUGCUGACGGAGCAAGAUGGCACAAGAUUUCGUCAACCCACUCAGAAGUAUGCAAUUUAAAACUUACACACUAUUGAUUUGUGGAACUUUCCAUUUCUUUUAAGACUGUGGUUGACCAUGGGUACCUGAAACCAUGGAAAGGAAAACAGCUGUUAAGAGAGGACUACUUUACAAGGAACAACACAGAACCAAGCAAACGGGCUCCCCCAGGAUUGUUGUGGAACAUGUAUAGUUGAAUAUAAAAGUUUAUAUGUUCAAUUUUAUGGAGAAAAUAUCCUUUUUCAAAGGAAUUAAGAUUGAAAAUUACUGGGUUAUUUUUUACUGCAUACGAUGGAAGCAAACAAAAAUAUGGAAAGAAAAUAUUUAACUCAUAGAAAUGCAAUCUAGAGGUUAGUUCAAACGACAGACUGUACCUGUAAGUGCAGAUGGGCAAGUAACAGAAUUCCUCUGGGAAAGAGGCAACAAUGUGUGACCUGCUGUCUACCCAGGUAACAGAUGCUGCAUGUAACGUAUGUUUAGGAAAUAUUUUGGCAUCAUACUGCUUGAUUCUCAUGACAAUCUUGUGAAGUUACCAUUGGGUAACCCCCAGAGGAAGAAACUUGAAGUUUAAAAUGUCUUUUAUUUUCCCUAUAUGAAAAGAGAAAUAUUUAGAGUGGGUAAGUACAGAGCCAUUACAUUUUUUUGUUGUGGUC
rnacentral:lncRNA from 1 species